UCUCGUCGGGGUGCCUCAUUUUAUAACGAUAAAAUGUUUGGGCUGAGAGGCAAUCGCCAACCCGCAGAACCUGAUCCGGUUAAUACCGGCGGAGGAAAUUGAGA
rnacentral:ncRNA from 1 species